GGCGGUGAAAGCCGGACAAGAGGUGCAAGCCGGCGAGGGUUUUUGUAUUGGUUAUUUCCCUGUAUUUGAGCCCGGGUUCGAAUCCCGGCACCGCCG
rnacentral:tRNA from 1 species